rnacentral:rRNA from 1 species
CCUACGGGUGGCAGCAGUGGGGAAUAUUGGACAAUGGGCGAAAGCCUGAUCCAGCCAUGCCGCGUGUGUGAAGAAGGCCUUCGGGUUGUAAAGCACUUUCAGUGGGGAAGAAAGCCUUGGGGCUAAUACCCUCGAGGAAGGACAUCACCCACAGAAGAAGCACCGGAUAACUCCGUGCCAGCAGCCGCGGUAAUACGGAGGGUGCGAGCGUUAAUCGGAAUUACUGGGCGUAAAGCGCGCGUAGGCGGUCUGAUAAGCCGGUUGUGAAAGCCCCGGGCUCAACCUGGGAACGGCAUCCGGAACUGUCAGGCUAGAGUGCAGGAGAGGAAGGUAGAAUUCCCGGUGUAGCGGUGAAAUGCGUAGAGAUCGGGAGGAAUACCAGUGGCGAAGGCGGCCUUCUGGACUGACACUGACGCUGAGGUGCGAAAGCGUGGGUAGCAAACAGGAUUAGAUACCCUUGUAGUC